rnacentral:lncRNA from 1 species
UUCUGUGCAGCGCUGCCUUGUGUAGUGACGGCGUGUGUAGCGUUGUGGGAUCGGGUCUCUGCUUCGCCUGGAUUCAAGCUAGCUUGGCCUGAAGUGAUUCAGAUGAAGCCAAGUUGUGGACUCGAGCUUGAGGACAAAGGAACUGCAAGGACUUCCUUGCUGCUUCAGUUCCCUUUGCUAGCUGUGCAUUGCAUUGUUGCUGAAAUACCUGCAAGCCCCCAGCAUUUAGCUCCUGUGUCUGUUCCCAUCACUUCAGGCGGUAGAAAGGAAGAAAGCCAAGGGGAAACCAAGAGGAAAUCACACCUCAUUGAUCCAUGGAGCCCGGCAUCACCAGACUGUGCUGCAGGCGUCACUGCUGAAGAUGCUGACUGCAAAGACACCGCUUGGCUCUGGGAAACCAUGGGACUCGUUGUUAAGCAUUACCAACAAGGAGUCAGCACCUGA